GUGGGGAAUUUUGGACAAUGGGCGCAAGCCUGAUCCAGCAAUGCCGCGUGCAGGAAGAAGGCCUUCGGGUUGUAAAGCACUUUUGGCAGGAAAGAAAUAGUGCGUGCUAAUACCAUGCGCGAAUGACGGUACCUGCAGAAUAAGCACCGGCUAACUACGUGCCAGCAGCCGCGGUAAGACGUAGGGUGCAAGCGUUAAUCGGAAUUACUGGGCGUAAAGCGUGCGCAGGCGGUUUUGUAAGACAGGUGUGAAAUCCCCGGGCUCAACCUGGGAACUGCACUUGUGACUGCAAGGCUAGAGUGUGUCAGAGGGAGGUGGAAUUCCGCGUGUAGCAGUGAAAUGCGUAGAGAUGCGGAGGAACACCGAUGGCGAAGGCAGCCUCCUGGGAUAACACUGACGCUCAGGCACGAAAGCGUGGGGAGCAAACAGGAUUAGAAACCCGGGUAGUCC
rnacentral:rRNA from 1 species